rnacentral:tRNA from 1 species
GCUGGUGUAGUUUAUUAAAAAUAGUGCUUUUGUAAAGCACAGAGGGUUUCAACCCGCCUGCU